UUCCUACGGGAGGCAGCAGUGGGGAAUCUUCCGCAAUGGGCGAAAGCCUGACGGAGCAAUGCCGCGUGAGUGAAGAAGGCCUUCGGGUUGUAAACUUCUUUUAAGAGGGAAGAGCAGAAGACGGUACCUCUUGAAUAAGCCACGGCUAACUACGUGCCAGCAGCCGCGGUAAUACGUAGGUGGCAAGCGUUGUCCGGAUUUACUGGGUGUAAAGGGCGUGUAGCCGGGCUGACAAGUCAGAUGUGAAAUUCCGGGGCUCAACCCCGGACCUGCAUUUGAAACUGUUGGUCUUGAGUAUCGGAGAG
rnacentral:rRNA from 1 species